AAAACAUGUUCAACAGAUAUAACAACAAGUUCAGAACAAGAACAUGUAAAACAACAACAUGUGUACUGUUACUAAGCAUUGUGUUGUCAUCAUCAAAAACUAGAUUGAUAUAGAGUUUUUAUUGUCAACAAUCUCAACAAUCUCCCCCUUUUUUGAUGAUGCACAACCAUGAUUAAUAACUCAACCAUGUUUGUAUAGUUUAGCACAAUAUUCAACAUAAAUCAAGUAGAAACAAUAUGAGACAGAUUAUUCUCCCCCUUUCACAAAGCAUUAAUACUUCCUCUCAUACUCUCAUGAAUAUCUCUCCCCCUUU
rnacentral:lncRNA from 1 species